GAACCCCAGGGAGCUUGCUCCCAAAUGUAAUCGGCGGACGCGUGAGUAACAUAUGGGUAACCUGCCUGUAAGACUGGGACACUUCGGGAAACCGGAGCUACUGACGGAUCAUUCUUUUCCUCACAUGAUGGAAAGCUGAAAGACGGCGCAAGCUGUCACUUACAGAUGGGUCCGCGGCGCAUAAGCUGGUUGGUGAGGUAACGGCUCACCAAUGCGACGAUGCGUAUCCGACCUGAGAGGGUGAUCGGCCACAUUGGGACUGAGACACGGCCCAAACUCCUACGGGAGGCAGCAGUAUGGAAUCUUCCGCAAUGGACGAAAGUCUGACUGAUCAACGCCGCGUGAGUGAUGAAUGUCUUCGGAUCGUAAAACUCUGUUGUUAUGGAAGAAUAAGUAUCGGAGUAACUGCCGGUACCUUGACGGUACCUAACCAUAAAGCCACGGCUAACUACGUGCCAGCAGCCGCGGUAAU
rnacentral:rRNA from 1 species